rnacentral:tRNA from 1 species
AGGGGUAUAGCUCAGUAGUAGAGCGUGUGCUUAGCAUGCAUGAGGCCCUGGGUUCAAUCCCCGGUGUCUCCA